CCACCCACCUCAGCCUCCCAAAGUGCUGGGAUUACAGGUGUGAGCCACAGCACUUGACCUUGUAUUUUUCACAGAGACAAGGUUUCUCCAUGUUGCCCAGGCUGGUCUUGAACUCCUGGACUCAAGUGAUCCUCCCAUCUCAGCCGCCCAACAUGCUGGGAUUACAGGUGCCCAGGCCCCACAAGUGGCCCCAGCCCAGGAACGAAUCUCUCAGGCUGCAUCAGGAUGAAUGAUGACCCAAGUAUGGAAGUGAGUGUUGGACUGGAUUUUGGUUUCAUUUUCAGUAUUACCAUAUCCUGUUCUUCUUCUAUGGGUAUUCUUUUUCCCUGUCUUUUUUAUUUUUUAAGUAUUAUGGAUAUUCUUGUAGCAAGUCUGAGUCUGCUAUUCCAAAACUCAGAUGCAUGAGAAAUAGCAACCUUUGAAGUCAAGAAAUUAAAAUUAUUUAAUAUGAGGGCUUUCUACCCUGUGUUUAGUAUGCACUGUGGGUUAUAGAACCAAAAAGAGAUUUCAAUGAAGUGAGCUAAACUUUUUGUUUGAGAGGCAGGCUGGUUUGGGACUUAAAUUCACGAAUGACUGUAAGAAGCCUCAGAUCCCAUUGAUUCUCCAAGAAUUGAGGUCGAGGCUGGAUAAUCUUUGAGGGGCUGGUACCCUUUGUCAAAGACCACAAAGCACGGCCAUGCCCAUGGAGAGUAGUAAGGUAUUAAUUGGCAAAGUUAGGUGCUAAUGCCACUUUUCUACCCAAGAAGAGAAUAAUGCUAAAUGACCUGAGAAGGUCACUUAGGUCACUGUCUCUAUCAUUGAGAUGUGGUUGGAAUGCCUUCCACAGUCUGCACCCUGAGCCUCGUGAUCUUCUCAAUCAAACAGAGCAGGCAGUUCUGUUUCAGGAUCUGGCAGUCCAUCAUUCUUCUUUCUUUUACAUUUUAAUUGAGAUAUAAUUCACCCACCAGACAAUUCAUUAAUUUAAAUUAUUCACUUAAAUGACUUUCAGUAUAUUCACAGAGUUGUACAACCAUCACCACAAUCGGUCUUAGAAUACUUUGAUCACCCCAGAAAUAAACUGCGUACCCAUUGGUAGUCUCUCCCUAUUUCCUCCUGUCCCCAACCCCCAGCUGGAGGCAACCACUAAUCUACUUUCUGUCCUAUAGAUUUGCCUAUUCUGGACAUCUCAUAUAAAUGGAUUCAUACAAUAUAUGGCCUUCUGUGCCCAGCUUCUUUCAGUUAAGGUUCUCAAGGUUCUCAGCAUAAGGUUCUCAAGAUUCAUCCAUGUCAUAGCAUGAUAUCAGUACUUCAUUCAUUUUUAUGGCUCAAUAAUAUUCCACUGUAUAGAUACACACCACAUUUUGUUUUUCCAUUCAUCAGCUGAUGGGCAUUUGAGUUGUUUUUACUUUUUGGCUAUUGCAAGUGAUGCUAUUAUGAGCAUCAGUGUAUUGGUUUUUGUGUAAACAUGUUUUUAAUUCUUUUGGGUGUAUUCCUGUGGCAGAGUUACUGCAUCAUAUGGUAACUCUAUGUUUAAUGUUUUUGAGGAACUGCAAAACAGACUUCGAGGGUGGCUAUAUCCUUUUACAUUUCCAACAGCAAUGUAUGAAGAUUCCGGUUUCUCUGUAUCCUCAUUAAAUAUUUGCCUAUUUUUUAUUAAAGCCAUCUUUGUGGGUGCAAAGUGAUACCUCACUGUAUUUUUGAUUUGCAUUUCUCUCAUGAUUAAUAAUGAACAUCUUUUCAUGUGUUUGUUGGCCAUUUGUAUAACUUCUUUGGAGACAAGUCUACUCAGAUCCUUUGCUCAUUUUAAAGAUGGGAUUAUAUUUCUUUUCACUAUUGAAUUGUACAAGUUGUUGUUAUUCUUCCUGUUGAGUGGGUAUAUGGCAUUGUUUUUGUUCAUAAAUACCUGUCUGAGCAGCUAAGAAAAAGGAAAUGAAUCUAUUUUGCUCUUACCUAGAGGCCAAGGUGGGCGGAUCACUUGAGGUCAGGAGCUCAAGAACAACCUGGCCAAUAUGGUGAAACCCCAUCUUUACUAAAAAUACAAAAAUUAGGUGGCGGGCACCUAUACUCCCAGCUACUUGGAAGGCUGAGGCAGGAGAAUUGCUUGAGCCCAGGAGGCAGAGGUUGCAGUGAGCCGAGAUUGCGCCACUGCACUCCAGCCUGGGUAACAGGAAAAGACUCCAUCUCAAAAAAUAAAAAUAAAAAUAAAUUGAAAAUUUUUAAAAAUAUAUCUUGCUCUUACCUAGCAAUUCUUAUAAAGUUUUAGUAAAGGAAGUUGAACUUGGAAGCUUACAGGAUGUUUGGUUAUUAGUAAUUUCCCUUUUAUCUGGCACCGAGUUUACCAAGAAGAAGGAAGAAACAAAUAUCAGUUGUGUGCCAGGAACUUUGUACAAAAGCAUUCCCACAUGCCAUGUGAUUAAUCUGCUCCACACUUCUCUGCUUUUUACAAAGGAGGCAACUGAAGUUGAGGGAGUUAAAUAACUUGCCCAUGAUCACUCAAUUAAUAAAUAACAAACCUGGGAUUAAAAUUCAGAUUUGUCCAGCUUCAAAGGAUACAGGCCUUUGUCAUGGCUACUCUUAGUACACUGAAUUUAGACAUUUUAAUCAUAAUUACUUAGCAUUACCUUGAAAGUAUUUUUUUUUUUUUUUGGCUAAGAAAUGUACUGCCUUUUAUAUCUAAAAGGACCUCCAUAUUGACUCUUAUUAGGAUAUGUGACUGCGUGGUUUUGUCUGUGCUUCACACCCAUUAAGAAAUAGGAGCUGG
rnacentral:lncRNA from 10 species